rnacentral:rRNA from 1 species
AUGCAACCGCUGUUACAGGGGACUUUCUCAGUGUCCGCGUUGAUCACCGACCUUUGCUGCAACUCGUCUUGGCUAUUGACAGGGGUCUACGGCCCACAAUCUGACGAGGACAAACUCAACUUCUUGAAUGAGAUCAGGCACAUCAAAGCCUUGGCUCCGUCCGAAUGGGUUGUACUUGGAGACUUUAACCUUAUUAGCCGUGCAUCCGAGAAGAGCAACAUCAAUAUCAACCUUCGUAUGAUCCGUGCCUUUCGUGCCGCCAUUGAUGAUCUGCAUUUAAAGGAGUUGCCUCUGAUCAGACGCCGCUUCACCUGGUCAAAUGAAAGGCUGAAUUCUACCCUAACCAAGAUAGACAAAGUGUUGUUCACUGAGGAGUGGGAAUCAAGAUACCCUGACUUCCAGCUACUGCCGGGAUCCACUGACAUCUCUGACCAUUGCCCUCUGAUCAUGAAGAAGAUUCAAGCGCGUCACUUCUCUGGAUUCCGGUUCGAGGCUUGGUGGCCAAAUGAGGAUGGCUUCAGUGAGGUUGUCUCCCAGGCAUGGUCCAAGAACCUGCAUACCAAUGAUUGCAUUCGGAAGCUGCACAUCAAGCUUACUAGAACAGCCAAAGCCCUCAAAAAGUGGAGUAAAAACCUGAUCAAAGAGAGAAGAUUUUGUUCUGCAGUUGCCUCCGAGGUCAUAUUGCAGCUUGACCUCGCGAUGGAGAACCGGUCCCUAACACAACAGGAGCUUGACUUACGUGCGUUGCUAAAGGGGAGGUUGCUUGCCAUUGCUGCUAUUCAAAAAAUAAGAUGA